rnacentral:rRNA from 1 species
CCCUUAGAUGUUCUGGGCUGCACGCGCGCUACACUGAUGUGUCCAGUAAGCACCUAACCUAUUCCGAGAGGAGCGGGUAACCUUAGCAAAGCACAUCGUGAUGGGGAUAGAUUAUUGCAAUUAUUAAUCUUCAACGAGGAAUGCCUAGUAGGCGCAAGUCAUCAGCUUGCGUCGAUUACGUCCCUGCCCUUUGUACACACCGCCCGUCGCUCCUACCGAUUGGGUGUGCUGGUGAAAUGUUCGGAUCGGCCGUUUGUCGCGGUUUCCGCGGCUCGUGGCUGAGAAGUUCAUUAAACCCUCCCACCUAGAGGAAGGAGAGGUCGUAACA